rnacentral:tRNA from 1 species
AAGCUUGAAGCGACCCGCAGUUAGUUUCGACCUAAUCUAUGAUGAAUAACCUCAUCCUAGCUUA